GGCAGACAUCCGGCUGGAUCAGGGACCUGUCUUGAAAACAGGCGGCGGCCGCGGGCCGAUUGUGGGUUCGAGUCCCACGGCUGCCG
rnacentral:tRNA from 1 species